UCUGCUAAGCGGCAGAAGUAAUGUAAGGAGCAGAAGUGUGAAGCAGUUUAAGUCUGCUCACAACUGACUACUUAUGUUCUUUUCUGUUGCCGUCAGA
rnacentral:pre_miRNA from 1 species